rnacentral:lncRNA from 1 species
GGUAACUUCUCCAAUGAACUCGAGAGUCAACCCUUGCUUAUAGAUCUCAAAAUGGAGCUUUGAAGAAAAUAGGGAAAACCAGAGAUUGGUUAAUCACUUUGGCUUAUUUUUUCCUCUCUUGCAUACACAACAAACACACAUGGUAAAUAAAACGUUUCUGGAAAGGUUGCUAACGAGUUUCAGCUUGGUCACAGUUAUUGAACGGAGGAGUAAGCAAGCUCUCAGUCCAAUUUCCCAAGUAUCUUUUCCUCCCCUUUUCAAACAGGGAUCCAGGCGACACUCGUGGCAGACGAUCUCAACACCAAAAGAACAGCAGCUGCCAGCUGCAUAAAACAGAUUGAGGCCUGCAAAUUGACUGAAAUGAUGACUACUCUUAACCAGACAUCUCAUUUUUCCACUUCUGACAGGCUGAGAUCUGCAAACCUCUGGGUCUCAAGAGAUGAAGGCUACAUUAGCCAACUAAGACGACAAACUCAACUCUUCCUUGUCAUUAAAUAAUUUGCCAGUUAUAAAUGGUUUGGUAACUUUACAGAAUUUAAGUACAUGUAAUGUUUAAAUUUCCCCAUUAAAUGUAAGAGGCAAAGAAAAUCCUUUUAAAUAACUAAGCAGAGGAUAUGAAAGGGGAGCCAAGAAUAGACAGAACUGUUACUUUUCAAAGAACCUUCGCUCUUUAUUCAAACAAAUAUUUACACAAUUGAAGGCAACGGCAAGAGAGAUAUAGCCAUUCUGUUAAAAUAGUGGGCAACUCUAACGGUUUAUUUAUCCCAAAUCCGACAGUUCUGUUGCUAACCUACCAGGAACCAAGAAUUCAAGUGUUCACAGGGCAAAAGUUUAACCUUCUGAAACUGUGGACCUCAUUUAGAUCUCUCCCAGCCGAAUUCAAACGUUAGAAUCCCAGAGACAUAUCUCGAACGCCCAAAUUAAACCAAACUAGGAAGCUUAAAAUUACACGUCCAAUACUUGAAAACCUACAUCUGUAACUUACACGUUCAUAUUACGAAGGGAAAUGUGGCUGACAAAUAUUUACACUAAAAAGACUCCACAUUUUUAUGCCUCGUCUAGUUACACUCCCAGCUGUGCCUGGCUAUGACUAGUUGUGCAUUCUAGAGCUCUUUAGAGCUACUUCAGAGUUGCAGGAUAAAGAUUUCUAGGGAAGAGGGCAGGGCCAGGCGCCCGGAGGAUUUCCAGCCACGGGUAGUUUACCGAGAGAAAAAGCUGCGGGCGUCGCUCCCUCUUUUACAUAAGAAAGGCUAAGCUCUAAAAGGCAGACAACUUCUUCCUGGCCCUUCGGAGAAGCUAGCCCUUGGAACCUAGGCCCUGAGUCGUGAGGAAGAGGAAAGACUACAUGGGGUCACUAUGUAAGGUGUUCCUGGUGACAGCUCCUGCUGAGGACCCAGCUGACAGCAAGCACCAACCUCCAGACAACAAGAGCUUUCUUCUGGCACAUCUGGUUUAUGUGAAUACAUUAGUGAGUUUCCCAGGAAGCCGCAGCAUCACACAAAGGCCCAUGAUCAUUUCACCAGGUUGACCUGAACAUCAUUGGCUAAACAUAGGAAAUCAAGAAAUUGUUAAAACUUCGCCAAAGUUUUCUACCUCUAAUAGUUAAGAGAUGAUGAAGGGAAGACUCUGUUCUUCAGAAGAAUUCAAUAAUGUCUUCUUUCACAGGCUUUAAAAGAUUAUCUCUUCAAAGAUUCUUCUAACUUUUUGUUUGUUUAUAGACCAUGUGUUCUCAAUAGGAACAAUAUUGUCCACCAAAGGGUGAAAAUUGGUUCUUGGGGGGUUUAACAUUUUCUUACUAUUUUAAUGUAUAAAGCACAGAUAUACCUAUAUACAGUUCACAAACAACAUAAUGGUGUCUCUGUGGCAUUAAAUCUCAUGGAGGAGAGGACGAUCAGAAAAAAUGUCUAAAAAGGCUUCUUUAGGGAUGUGAUACUGAACAAAAGUUUAGAAACUGAAUUAGAGGACAGGAAAGGCACAUAAAGAGUUUAAAGGGACUAAUCAAACAGGACGUUUUCAACUGAUUACAUGAAUUUGGUCUGAGACUGAUUCCUCAGAAUGCCCCCCACUCUCAAGAUACCAUUUCACCUGAAGUCAUUAGCUUUGGAAUAGAAAGGAACAAAUCUACGCUUUGUUAAGAAAUAUUUGUAAAUUGGAAAUUUUC